GUAGUCGGAUUCACAUCAAUCCACAGGUUGGAUUGGAGUGAAAUUUGAACUAAAUUUCACCCCAAUCCACUCCAACACGCGUGGAUUGAGAUGAAUCUGACA
rfam:Sorghum bicolor cultivar BTx623 chromosome 1, whole genome shotgun sequence.